UUCUUAAAGCUUCCAUCAAUGGCGAUGAAUCCCAUCUCCCCUCUGGCUUGUUUUUCGUUUCUUACCUCAAUCAACCAGAUCUUGUGAGAUGGAUAGAAUGUUCAAAAAUCUAGGGUUCAAUGUCAGAACUGCAAGGUGAAAACGAAGAUUACAGUUGAUUUGAGAUCCUCCCACGAAGAUUCACAAAUAGAUUUGAUUACAAGACCCUAAAAUCGUUCAAGAGUAGACUUUGAUCCAUUCAAGUGAUAAAACUGCUACUCGAUUUGCCAUGUAGACCAGACACCAAACUACCAGGGUUGGUGACGAUGGGCUUUAAGGUAAAACUGAUGGCGCACUACUCUUGGAGAGAAUAAUGAUGAAAAAUGUUGAGGGUUUGGCUCUUAUCAUUGGUCUAUCGGAAACUUCGUCCGAGUCGGAAGAUUCAGAAGUAGAAGAGGUUUACAAGCCUUGA
rnacentral:lncRNA from 1 species